rnacentral:sRNA from 1 species
GCUGGGCACGGUGGCACGUGCCUGUAAUCCCAGCAGCUUAGGAGGCUGAGGCAGGAGGAUCACAAGUUCAAAGCCAGCUUCAGCAAAAGCAAGGCACUAAGCCACUCAGUGAGACCCUGUGUCUA